rnacentral:misc_RNA from 1 species
GAUGAAGAACGCAGCGAAAUGCGAUAAGCAAUGUGAAUUGCAGAAUUCAGUGAAUCAUCGAAUCUUUGAACGCACAUUGCGCCCCCUGGUAUUCCGGGGGGCAUGCCUGUCCGAGCGUCAUUACAACCCUCAAGCUCAGCUUGGUGUUGGGCCCCGCCGCCCCGGCGGGCCCUAAAGUCAGUGGCGGUGCCGUCCGGCUCCGAGCGUAGUAAUUCUUCUCGCUCUGGAGGUCCGGUCGUGUGCUCGCCAGCAACCCCCAAUUUUUUUCAGGUUGACCUCGGAUCAGGUAGGGAUACCCGCUGAACUUAAGCAUAUCAAUAAGCGGAGGA